UAUACAUAUUUUGUAUGAUAUGAAAUGGUUUUGUUUAAGUUAAAAAUAAACCUUUAAAACAAAAUGUUUAAAUAUUAGGGCACAUCUCUCUUAGCGACUGAUACAAACUGUCACUUGGGCCACAAUCUAGUGAUCAAGUUGCACUAAUUCCGUAGAAAAGUCUCUAAAUUGACAACAUUUAUGUCUAUCGGUUUUUCUAACGAUUUUGAUUUUUCAAUUAGAUAUUACUGUACAAUUAAAACUGCGCAGAUAAAAUUGAAGGUCUGUAGCCCGACUUAUGUAAAACUAGAAUUAUUUCUUUAAAUACUUGCCGUAGCAAUAUUUUUUUUAAUCAAUUUAGUAUACAUUUGAGACGUUUGACUAUAAAAUUAGCACCAUUGUCUAAAAAUUAAAAAAAAAAACUUUUAAAGGUAGAAUUAGAGAAACAUGUGCGUCUACCUACUUACAUUUAUAAUAAUAGGAAAAUAACAUAAUAUUAUAAUUAUUUUUUAAAUAUAAAGGAACUAAUUAAUAGCGUCUUCUUUAUAAACUAAAAUAUUUUAAACUAUAACUAAUUAAAUGCAUAAAAUGGCACUAAUCAAAAAUAUGAGAUUUUCAUCGGAACAUUUGAAAAAUAAUUUUCCAGUACUCUUUCGAAAUAAGUCAUUUUGCCUUUCAGACAAAGAUUACGUUGAAUUUCACUCUUAACGUAUUGUCCAAGAUUUCAUUAAACGUAGUCAUAUUUAUAAACUACAAUUCAUUAGUGUAAUAUAUUUUUAUAUUACUUAUUUCAAAAUCAUCUGAAUUAACUCUGACUCUAUAAACAUUAGAGUGAUUCUUGUGAUUGAAAAUAUUUUUCUACUUGAUCCUCUUCGCAUUAGUUAUCAGGCCAAGCCCCGUAUUUAUGCCAAUUUUGUUGUACCUAAAUCAUUAAUCUAAAUUGAUAGAUCCAACAAUCGUUGUAACUUUUGACAAUGCAACGUGGAUGCUAUUAAUUGUCGAAAUGCUGACAAAUAAUCAUGGAGAUUUUGGUACAACAGCAUUAGCACCAAUAUUGACAUACAAAACCUAAAUUGACAGAAAUAUGGACACCUUUUUCUUCAUCAUUAUCAGCCUAUUUUAACGGCCCACUUAGGGGCCUAACCUUCGUCUUUAUAAAGUAUAGUGGGGCUUAGACCCACCACGCUGCUCCGAUGUGGGUUGGCGUCUAGCGGAUAUCACCGGGACCGACUGCUUAAUGUGCUCUUCGAGACACGUGGGUGCAACAACAAAAGCUCAAUAUUCCAUUACCCGACCCAGGAUUCGAACCCAGGACCUCGGUUUUUGCUCAGCACGCGGCAGUUACCUUCACCUUUUUCUUAAUAUCAUCGAAAUGGGACGGCUCUAUUUUGUUGUCUCUUUUAUUCUUAUGAUAUUUUUUAUUCAUUUUACUAUAAUUUUCUCAAAACUUCUGUGAAAAGACAACAUCCUUUUUAUACCUGUCAAUUUAGAUUAAUUUAUGCAUAUUUAUAUUUUUCUUUAAAUGCAUUCAACCAAACAAAAUAUUUUGAUAGAUAUUUUUUUGUCAGAUGUACGAAUAUCAAAAAUGUACCUUAGAUAAAAUAGUUAUUCUAUUAUGAACAUAAUAUAUGUAUUUUAUUGCAAAAAAAACAUAGUCAAAAAUACAGAGAAAUCUAAAUAAACAAUAAUUUAUUUGCAACUAGGUUUAUAGCUGUGGGUGUGAGCAGGAGUAGAUCAGAUUUGAACGGAUUUUUUUUACAUUUUUUUCUUUUUUUUACUUUUGUCUGCAUAUUGUGUCUGUUCCUUCUGUUUAAUCUUAAUUUAAGCUUAUAUACUACGUGGCUUGGAUAUCGCCAUAAAUAUAUUGAAGUAAGGAAACAGACGUAGUGUGUUCGAACACUGUCUACACUACCAAACUAAUUUUAAUCAAUUUAAUUAAUUUUUUCAUGAUUUUUUUUUGCCUGUUAAAUCUAAGAUAGUGCAAGCCAUUUCCAAGCGAUGCUUGGUGGCUCACUUUGCCUAAUAAAACUAAAAAUAUUACCUCUUCGUCUUAUAACUAACACUAAUAGAAUAAAAACUUUGCUCGCCAAUUGGAUGUAACGUAAAUUACUCCAAUGUAUUUGACGAGAAAGUCAAAAAUACACAUAUAGAAUAUAUAAUCUGUGCCACAAAUGGGACGUGUUAACUUCUAAGUGGCAACGUUAGUAUCUUGGCCAAGGAGGCAAACAUUUUGCCUGUUACAAACAAAUAUGUCGCAUUUACGUUAACCAAAUCUGAUAUUCUGUAUUCUUACUGUAUACUUAAUAAAGUUUACUUUAAAGCUAAAAUUGAUUAAUCCAUGAAACUGCUAACGAUCCAUCCGUAAGAUGAUAUUUGUCGGAUCUAGUAGCGUCACAUUGGUUCAUCGCCUUGGUAUACGUAGUAACAUAACAUUAGCAAAAUAUUUU
rnacentral:lncRNA from 1 species